rnacentral:rRNA from 1 species
ACAAGCGGUGGAGCAUGUGGUUUAAUUCGACGCAACGCGAAGAACCUUACCUGGGCUUGACAUCCCGAUCGUACCUGCUGGAAACAGCGGGGUCAGUUCGGCUGGAUCGGAGACAGGUGCUGCAUGGCUGUCGUCAGCUCGUGUCGUGAGAUGUUGGGUUAAGUCCCGCAACGAGCGCAACCCUUGUCCUUAGUUGCCAUCAUUUAGUUGGGCACUCUAAGGAGACUGCCGGUGUUAAACCGGAGGAAGGUGGGGAUGACGUCAAGUCCUCAUGGCCCUUAUGUCCAGGGCUACACACGUGCUACAAUGGCCGGUACAAAGGGCAGCAAAGCCGCGAGGUGGAGCCAAUCCCAGAAAGCCGGUCUCAGUUCAGAUUGUGGGCUGAAACUCGCCCACAUGAAGGCGGAAUUGCUAGUAAUUGCAGAUCAGCAUGCUGCAGUGAAUACGUUCCCGGGCCUU